GAGGGCUGCAGUUUCUUCACGUGGACACCAACACCUGCUAUUUUCCUUGUUUUGAUUACAGCCAUCCCAGUGGGUGUAUCCUCAUUCUGGCACAAGCUGGGAAGUCACAGGACAUGCCCUUUGGCUUCCAGGUCUGCUGAAAACUUCCAAUUUCCUUCACCCUGCUGAAUAAUUGCCAGACUACAAAAUGCUUCCAAUUGAGGAGAGGCCAUGUGACAAUAGAGACAGAGAUUGGAUGAUACAGCCGCAAACCAAGGAAUCCUGUGGAUGGCUACCAACCUCAGAAACCAGGAAGAGACCAAGAAGGAUUCUUCCCUCGCACCUUCAGGGAAAGAGAGGGGGUGGCCCUGACAAGGUCCUCAUUUUGGACUUCCAGCUUCCAGACCUGUGAGAGAAUAAAUUUCUGUUGUUUAUGUCACCUGGUGGGUCGUGUCUGCGAUGGCAGCCCAAGGAAACUAAUACCACCAGCUGUUGGGGAAGGAGAGUGCUCUACAAUCUUGUGAAAAGUACUACUGGGCCUGAGUCCUUGGGCUGUGGCCUUCAGAAGUGGUUCUUGGUCCUUCUUUCUCUGCCCCGACGAGAGACUAGAGGGCCAGGCUGUCCCACUACCCUUCCUACAGAAGAUAAGGUCCUGGUGGAGCCGUGCCCCUUCACGCUAGGCCUUGGUGAGGGAACAGAAUGUUCUGGGCUUUCAAAAUAGUUACUUUUCCUUGGGCGUAUUGUGAAAUGGUUACUUUCCUCCUCUCUGGGUCUGAAGCCUGGGGAUUUUCUCUCAUCUUCAGAGUGAGAACCUGGUGGGUUGCUCCUGCAGUAAAACCCAGAGAGACAGCAGGGACCCCUAAGACUGGACACUAAGAAUUUUUAACCCAAACUAGUCCACGUUAGCCUCCAGCAAUUUGUCACUUGCCAUUCGAAUGUUCCUACCAUCUCCUACUGCCUCCAGGGGUG